AACGAACGCUGGCGGCAGGCUUAACACAUGCAAGUCGAGCGAGACCUUCGGGUCUAGCGGCGGACGGGUGAGUAACGCGUGGGAACGUGCCCUUCUCUACGGAAUAGCCCCGGGAAACUGGGAGUAAUGCCGUAUACGCCCUUUGGGGGAAAGAUUUAUCGGAGAAGGAUCGGCCCGCGUUGGAUUAGGUAGUUGGUGGGGUAAUGGCCCACCAAGCCGACGAUCCAUAGCUGGUUUGAGAGGAUGAUCAGCCACACUGGGACUGAGACACGGCCCAGACUCCUACGGGAGGCAGCAGUGGGGAAUCUUAGACAAUGGGGGCAACCCUGAUCUAGCCAUGCCGCGUGAGUGAUGAAGGCCUUAGGGUUGUAAAGCUCUUUCAGCUGGGAAGAUAAUGACGGUACCAGCAGAAGAAGCCCCGGCUAACUCCGUG
rnacentral:rRNA from 1 species